UCCCUCUUAGCUCAGUUGGUAGAGCGUGUCACUAGUAAUGACGAGGUCAGUCGUUCAAGUCGGCUAGAGGGAA
rnacentral:tRNA from 1 species